rnacentral:tRNA from 1 species
AGAAAGGUAGUCCAAAAUAAGACCCCUGAUUUCGGCUCAGAAAAUCGUGGUUUAAACCCACGCCCUUCUU